UAACGCGUGAGCAAUCUGCCUUUAAGAGGGGGAUAACAGUCGGAAACGGCUGCUAAUACCGCAUAAAGCAUUGAAACCGCAUGAUUUUGAUGCCAAAGGAGCAAUCCGCUUUUAGAUGAACUCGCGUCUGAUUAGCUAGUUGGCGGGGUAACGGCCCACCAAGGCGACGAUCAGUAGCCGGACUGAGAGGUUGAACGGCCACAUUGGGACUGAGACACGGCCCAG
rnacentral:rRNA from 1 species